rnacentral:lncRNA from 1 species
AACUUUCUGGAUUUGUUUUAAAAUUUAACUUAUAACUGUAUAUUUUCUUGAUUUUUACCCAGGUUACAAAAUACCCUCCUAUGCUUGAGAUCCACAGACUACGUGUCCUACGAGAACGAAUCAGUUGUUCAUCUCCUGGAAAUACAUUAGAAACAUAAAUAUGGUGCCAAAAGAUUUCCUUACCUUUCUCUGACUACAGUUUAUUUGGACAUACUUUUGUAUUGAAGAGAGGUACACAGACUGAGGCUACUUGUGCAGAGACUCUGUCGUGUAGGAUCAUGGACCAUCCUAGUAGAGAGAAGGAUGAAAGACAACGGACAACUAAACCCAUGGCACAAAGGAGUGCACACUGUACCCGACCGUCUGGCUCCUCAACAUCCUCUGGGGUUCUUAUGGUGGGACCCAACUUCAGGGUUGGCAAGAAGAUAGGGUGUGGGAACUUCGGAGAGCUCAGAUUAGGUAA